CCCUUAGACGCUCUAGGCGGCACGCGCGCUACAAUGGGUGGUAGAACGUGUAACUGCUCCCGAAAGGGAGGGUGAACCACGAAUACUUACCCGUGAAUGGGAUAGUUUGUUGCAAUUUUCGGACUUGAACUAGGGAUCCCUUGUAAGAAUGCUCAAGAAUAGCGUGCUGAAUACGUCCCUGCCGUUUGUACACACCGCCCGUCGUUUCUUCCGACUGAUACUCAUUGUGAGUUGCAAGGAUUCUUAUUGAAAAAUUGCUGCGAAUGCUUUGUAUUGGAGGAAGAAAAAGUCGUAACA
rnacentral:rRNA from 1 species